rnacentral:lncRNA from 1 species
GGUCUAGGGAUUAGGUUUGGGUAUAUGGUUUUGAGUUUAAAGUCUAGGGUUUGGGUUAAGGAUUUAGAGUCUAGUAUUUGGGUUUAGGGUUUAGGAUUUGAGUUUAGGGUUUACGGUUUGGGUUUAGGAUUUGGGUUUAGGGUUUAGAGUUUAGAAUUUAGGAUUUAGAUUUAAAGUUUAGGGUUUAGAAUUUAUGAUUUAGGGUUUAGUUAGUGGCGUUAGCGUCAUUAAAAUUAACAUCAUUAUUUUUUUCAAUUAUUUUUAAUUCAAAAAAA